UUCGCUUUAUGACGUGCUCGUUUGGGUUGGGCGUCAGCUAAGAGUGCUCGGAGCGUGGAUUAACUCCAGUCGCCAAUCAGGUGUGUAUUUUUUCGCUACUCUAGUGUAGGAUGGCUACUUUGGGCCGAAAGGGGCCAUUGGGCCCAAUGGGCCUACGGGCCUAAUUGAAUAAGUUGUUUGAUUGUGUAUUAAAUAUUGGACUAGGCUAGGUGAAUCUCAUAUCUGUGGCUAGAUUUGGGCUAAAAGGGCCACACGAGCGUGCGGGCCCAUUUGGGCCAAGAAUGGGCUUUAGGCCCAUUCAUAUUGUUAUCCCUAUUUAGAAUACUUUAGUUUACCAAAUUACUGAAAUGCCCUCAAUUUGUAAAAUUACCAAAGUACCCUCGAUUUACAGAAUUACCAUUUUACCCUCGAUUUACAGAGUUACCAUUUUACCCUCGAUUUAUAGAAUUACCAUUUUACCCUCGAUUUAUAGAAUUACCGUUUUACUCUCAAUUUACAGAAUUACCAUUUUACCCUCAAUUCACAAAAUUACCGUUUUACCCUCGAUUUAUAGAAUUAUCGUUUUACCCUUAAUUUACAAAAUUACCGUUUUACCUUUAAUUUACAGAAUUACCGUUUUACCCUCGAUUUAAAGAAUUACCGUUUUACCCUCAAUUUACAAAAUUACUGAAAUACCCUUAGUUUAUAAAAUUACCAAAAUACCCUCGAUCAGUAAAAUUACCAAAAUACCCAUGGUUUGUAAAAUUACUAAAAUAUCCCUCGUUUGUAAAAUUACCAAAAUACCCCUGGCUUGUAAAAUUACUAAAAUACCCCUGAUUUGUGAAAUUAUCGAAAUACUCUGGAUUUGCAAAAUAUCAAAAUACCCCUGUAGGGUAGAAUUACCGAAAUACCCCUAUAGGGUAGAAUUACCGAAAUACCCUUGUAAGGUAGAAAUACCGAAAUACCCCUGUAGGGUAGAAUUACCGAGAUACCCUUGUGGGGUAAAAUUACCAUUUUUCCCCUAGGGUGUUAAAUGACUGUUUUGCCCUUGUGGACAAGUGACUGACUUGGACUGUGUGGUUGACGGAUUUGAUUGUGAAUAUAUGUUGGUGAUAUGAAUGACUUGACUGUGAUUGUUUGAUUCAAAUAUGAGCAUGACAUUCUGCAUACAUGACAUGUUGCAUGGGUUGGGUUUUAUAAAAAUAGAGGAAGUGCUAAAAGGGCUUUGCCCCAGUUUACCGAAAAAGGCUUUGCCCCAAUUUAUCAAAAAGGGCUUUGCCCCAGUUAUUAAAAGAGGCUAGGCCUCCAGUUAUAUGAUAAAGCAGCUAUGCUGCCAGUGGAGAGUUUGGUUGGGUAGGUUGAGUUAUUCCCCACAUGGAGAACUUGGUUGGUACAGGUGGAGAGUAGCGGAUGGUGGGUUGAGUAGUCUCCCCAAAUGGGCUUGCAUACAUUCAUUGGUAUUUCAUGUGAUUUUGAAAUGGGCCUAUGGGCCAUACCGUUUACAGUAAAGGCUUCAGCCCAGUGAUUUGAUUUAUGAAAAGGCUCUGGCCUAGUAACUGUUAAACGAAAGGCUUUGGCCCAGUAAAUGUCGAGACUAAAUAGGGCUUUGGCCCAGAUUGUACUGAUACCGUGUUAUUCACUGUUUGUUUGUUAUUGGAAUUACACACUGAGUUUUCGUAAACUCACCCCGUUUCUAACUGUGCAGGUAAUCCCUAAGCUUAGAUGGUUUGGAGCUGCGAGGGACUCUGAAAUGGCCACACUAUUGUUUCUAUUUCUUUUAAUUGCAAUUAGAUUUCAUUUUGGGUUUUUAAAUAAUGUAAUAAGGCCGUAGGUGGGUUUUAAGUUUUAAUUUGGAUUGUGAUUUCUUAUACUAAACUGCUAGUCUAGGAAAAUCGAGAUUUCAAAAUGGCAUGAUUUUUCUAAGGAACACGAGCUUCCAACAACAAAGUUUUCAAAAUGCUUCCGUAAUUUUAAAUGAGAUAAUAUACCA
rnacentral:lncRNA from 1 species